GCUAAUUAAUUUGAUAAUUUGUAAUGAAUAAAUGAGUUGUGAUCAAUAAAAGUUUUGAUUUUUCGAGCGAUGAAUAGUCUGUGACCAAUAAAAAUUUUGAUUCGUGACCGAUACAUAAUCUGUGACCCAUAAAAUUUUUGAUUUGUGAUUGAGUUAAGGUCAAGGUUCACUAGUCACGGGUUUGAGUUCACAAGUCAUGGUCAUUUCAUAUAAGUCACAAAUCAGUAUAAACAGGUCACAAAUCAAUAUUAACAGGUCACACGUCAUUUUGUAAAAGUCACAGAUCAAAUUUAUAGGUCACAUUUUAUAUUACGAGUCACGAGUAACAAAUCACAGGUUAAAAAUCAUAUUUUAUAUGUCACAAUGUAUACAAGUCACAAGUUAUUGCCAAG
rnacentral:lncRNA from 1 species